rnacentral:rRNA from 1 species
AGCGAACGCUGGCGGCAGGCUUAACACAUGCAAGUCGAGCGGGCGUAGCAAUACGUCAGCGGCAGACGGGUGAGUAACGCGUGGGAACGUACCUUUUGGUUCGGAACAACCCAGGGAAACUUGGGCUAAUACCGGAUAAGCCCUUACGGGGAAAGAUUUAUCGCCGAAAGAUCGGCCCGCGUCUGAUUAGCUAGUUGGUGGGGUAAUGGCCCACCAAGGCGACGAUCAGUAGCUGGUCUGAGAGGAUGAUCAGCCACAUUGGGACUGAGACACGGCCCAAACUCCUACGGGAGGCAGCAGUGGGGAAUAUUGGACAAUGGGCGCAAGCCUGAUCCAGCCAUGCCGCGUGAGUGAUGAAGGCCCUAGGGUUGUAAAGCUCUUUUGUGCGGGAAGAUAAUGACGGUACCGCAAGAAUAAGCCCCGGCUAACUUCGUGACAGCCGCCGCCGU